GACGAACGCUGGCGGCGUGCUUAACACAUGCAAGUCGAACGAUGAACUUGGAGCUUGCUCUGGGGGAUUUGUGGCGAACGGGUGAGUAACUCGUGAGUAACCUGCCCUGGACUCUGGGAUAACUUCGAGAAAUCGGAGCUAAUACCGGAUAGGACCUUGCACCGCAUGGUGUGGGGUGGAAAGUUUUUCGGUUUGGGAUGGACUCGCGGCCUAUCAGCUUGUUGGUGAGGUAAUGGCUCACCAAGGCGUCGACGGGUAGCCGGCCUGAGAGGGUGACCGGCCGCACUGGGACUGAGACACGGCCCAGACUCCUACGGGAGGCAGCAGUGGGGAAUAUUGCACAAUGGGCGCAAGCCUGAUGCAGCAACGCCGCGUGCGGGAUGACGGCCUUCGGGUUGUAAACCGCUUUUAGUAGGGAAGAAGCCUUCGGGUGACGGUACCUGCAGAAAAAGGACCGGCUAACUACGUGCCAGCCGCCGCAGUAACAC
rnacentral:rRNA from 1 species